rnacentral:rRNA from 1 species
UAUGAAUUUAAUUUUAGUUCUUUUAACGAUACUUUAUACAAACAUUAAAAAUAGUUAUAAAUAGGAUCUGUUUUAUUUAUGAAAUAUAAAAUAAAUUUUAGAUGUGGGUUUUUUAAAAUAAUAGAAAUAAGUUAGAUUGAGUUAUAAGUAGAUAGAAAGUAAAUUGGAGUGCCAGCAACUGCGGUUAUACUCAGUUUUAGUGUUAAUUCUAGGUGGAAAUAUAUAAAAAAUCUUAAGUAGUAAUUUUAGGUAAUAUUUUUAGUUAUAAAAAGUUUUUGGUUUUAGGAAAAGGAUAUGAAGGAAAAUAUUUGGAUAAAAGUUUUUUUUAAACCUGUAGGUAAUAAUAAUUAUAAAAACUGUAAUAAUUUUUUCCCAUAAGAAAAUAAAAAGAUUUGGCAGUAAAUUAUGUUUUCUGGGGAGUGUGUUUAAUAAAGAGAAUGUACGCUUAUGAAUUUGCUAAAAAUUUGUUUGUUAGUGUACGGUUGUUUAGGAGGUUAUUUAUAAGAAAAAAUGAUCUUUAAUACAAAUCAUUGUGCUGCUUAUUUUUUAGAAAUUGGAUUCACUACUUUUAGGUUUUUUUUAUGAAUAAUAAAAUAAAAUAAGGACUAGAAAGUAAAAAUUUUUGAGUUGGAAAUUUUGAAAAUAGAGUUAAUUUGAGUACACAUUGCCCGUCAAUUUUUUUAGAAAGAUAAGUCGUAACAUGGUAAGUUUAGCUGAAGCUGAACUUUUUU